GGUAUCGUGAUGGUUACUGAGCAGGCUUCAAAGAAAAAAAUCCCCAAGACUAAAAGAAUCAGGUGCAGUUGAAAGAGGAAGCUGAACCAACAAACAAUAAUGUGGACUGGAUAUAAGAUCUUAAUCUUCUUCUCUCUGACGACAGACAUCUGCACUGAGACUCAUUUCUCUCAAGGAGAAGCAGAACCAGGGCCAAGAUUCACUAGAAAUCACACCAUUUUUGAAGGUUCUCGGCACAAAAGGGCCAUUUUCCAAGGGGAAUACUGUAGGCGCUUUGGCUGUUGUGAAGCUAGAGAUGACACCUGUGUCACUCAGUUCUAUGAGGCCAAUGCACUGUGUUACUGUGACAGCUUCUGUGAGCGGGACACCUCUGAUUGCUGUCCUGAUUACAAGUCAUUCUGCCACGAAGAAAAAGAAGAGCCUCCUUUCCAACAGCCUUCAGACCCAGAAGGUUGCUUCAGAGAUAGCCAGCAUUAUGAAGAAGGAUCAGUAGUUAAAGAAAACUGCAACUCCUGUACAUGUUCAGGACAGCAGUGGAAAUGUUCCCAACAUGUGUGCCUUGUUCAUCCAGAAUUAAUUGACCACAUCAAUAAAGGAGACUAUGGAUGGACAGCACAGAAUUAUAGCCAAUUCUGGGGAAUGACCUUAGAAGAAGGAUUCAAAUUCCGCCUCGGCACCUUGCCACCUAGCCCCAUGCUUCUCAGCAUGAAUGAAAUGACAGCUUCUUUUCCUCCCAGAGCUGAUCUUCCUGAGAUCUUCAUUGCUUCUUAUAAGUGGCCUGGAUGGACUCAUGGUCCACUGGAUCAAAAAAACUGUGCUGCAUCCUGGGCUUUUUCCACCGCAAGUGUGGCAGCUGACCGAAUUGCAAUUCAGUCCAAGGGUCGAUACACAGCCAAUCUCUCGCCUCAGAAUUUGAUCUCUUGUUGUGCCAAGAAUCGUCACGGAUGCAACAGUGGAAGCAUAGAUAGGGCCUGGUGGUUCCUGAGAAAACACUGGUAUCUCAUGCAUGCUACCCACUUUUCAAGGACCAAAACACUACCAAUAAUAUCUGUGCUAUGGCAAGUAGAUCAGAUGGGCGGGGAAAACGGCAUGCCACAAAGCCAUGUCCCAACAGCUUCGAGAAAUCCAACAGGAUUUACCAAUGUUCUCCUCCAUACAGAGUCUCUUCCAAUGAAACUGAAAUUAUGAGAGAAAUCAUACAAAAUGGACCAGUUCAAGCCAUAAUGCAAGUCCAUGAAGACUUCUUUUAUUAUAAGACAGGAAUAUACAGACAUGUUGUCAGCACAAAUGAAGAACCAGAAAAGUAUAAAAAACUUCGGACACAUGCAGUUAAACUCACUGGAUGGGGCACACUGAGAGGAGCACGAGGAAAAAAAGAAAAAUUUUGGAUUGCUGCCAAUUCCUGGGGAAAGUCAUGGGGAGAGAAUGGCUAUUUUAGGAUUCUUCGAGGAGUAAAUGAAUCUGACAUUGAGAAAUUGAUUAUCGCAGCGUGGGGCCAACUGACAAGUUCAGAUGAUCCAUAGCUAUCACAUUUCCAUAAGGUCAUGCAUUCAAGUAACUCAUUAAAUCGAAUUUUAGCAAUCCAAGGUUCCCUGAGCCAGAGGAAGGGUGCAUUUUUGCUAUGUGCGUAGGACAUUCCUCCUUUCUUGUUUUACUCCAGACUCUAAUCCGUUCUCUUUAUAUUAUUAAAAUACUAAUAAAAGAAAGAAUGGCUAAAUGU